AUUUGACGAGUAAUGAACUAGUAGUUAUUAGAAAUAAUCCAUAUGUGGCUGAGAGAGUUUUGUUCAUGUUGGAAUAUAUUGUGAACUUCAUCAAAACUCGGGCGUAUUAGUAAUGUACAAACUGUUUAUUUACGUUAAGAAGCACUGUGGGUUUUCUUUUCCUUUUUAAUGUAAUUGUGCGUGAGGAUGCAAAUUUUGGUUCCAUGCUGUUUGUUGAGUCAGGGCCGUAUUAGCGGCGCACCCUAUAGCUUCUGCGCGCGGCGAGGCUCGUCUUCGCGCCAGUGCGCUACGGAACCUAAGACGGCAGUCAGGUCUGGGAAGGAGGAUUUAAAGGACUAAACAGAAGAUGUCUGGAUCACAUGACAGCCCCAGAUGGUUGCAAUCUCUACAGCUAAAACAGCACUGAGGGACUCCUGCAAAGCUGUUAUAUAUAUCCUCCCCAACACGACUUAUCUGUGUCGCCAGGAAACUGCUGCAGACACAAUUCGGUUUGAUAAACUGAGCUGCGGAGCCUUAAGCUUGUUGCCAUGGAUGCAACAAUGUUUAAAUCUCUUUUCAGCGCCACCAUUGAAAAAGUUUGUUCUUAUGCAGGAUUGUAAUAAUGAAUGAUAUGCCACAGUCUUGGCCUUGUCAAGUGAAGCUUAGAGCUGCCCUACUUUAUAUGUUGUGAGGUACAGUAGCCCAAUGUAUUGUACACCCAGAGCACUGAAUGGCCUGAAAAUGUGUGUAUGGUGAA